UGUUUCGGCUAGGGGGCCAUCCCGGCUUACCAACCCGAUGCAAACUGCGAAUACCGGAGAAUGUUAUCACGGGAGACACACGGCGGGUGCUAACGUCCGUCGUGAAGAGGGAAACAACCCAGACCGCCAGCUAAGGUCCCAAAGUCAUGGUUAAGUGGGAAACGAUGUGGGAAGGCCCAGACAGCCAGGAUGUUGGCUUAGAAGCAGCCAUCAUUUAAAGAAAGCGUAAUAGCUCACUGGUCGAGUCGGCCUGCGCGGAAGAUGUAACGGGGCUAAACCAUGCACCGAAGCUGCGGCAGCGACACUCAGGUGUUGUUGGGUAGGGGAGCGUUCUGUAAGCCUGUGAAGGUGUGUCGUGAGGCAUGCUGGAGGUAUCAGAAGUGCGAAUGCUGACAUAAGUAACGAUAAAGCGGGUGAAAAGCCCGCUCGCCGGAAGACCAAGGGUUCCUGUCCAACGUUAAUCGGGGCAGGGUGAGUCGACCCCUAAGGCGAGGCCGAAAGGCGUAGUCGAUGGGAAACGGGUUAAUAUUCCCGUACUUGGUGUUACUGCGAAGGGGGGACGGAGAAGGCUAUGUUGGCCGGGCGACGGUUGUCCCGGUUUAAGCGUGUAGGCUGGUUUUCCAGGCAAAUCCGGAAAAUCAAGGCUGAGGCGUGACGACGAGGCACUACGGUGCUGAAGCAACAAAUGCCCUGCUUCCAGGAAAAGCCUCUAAGCAUCAGGUAACAUCAAAUCGUACCCCAAACCGACACAGGUGGUCAGGUAGAGAAUACCAAGGCGCUUGAGAGAACUCGGGUGAAGGAACUAGGCAAAAUGGUGCCGUAACUUCGGGAGAAGGCACGCUGACACGUAGGUGAAGUGAUUUACUCA
rnacentral:rRNA from 1 species